CAGAGCAAGUACCAGAAAUAUUUGAAGCUCAAAGCUAAAGUUGAGGUCCUUGAGCUUUCACAGAGACAUUUUGAGGGAGAAGAUAUGGAGACUUGGCCUCUAACGAACUGGAACAGCUUGAGCAACUGCUGGACUUCAACACUGAGAUCAUCAUGGGAGCAAAGCCACCACAGUCACAGGGAUUUCUUCAGCCUUUACAAUGCACCACUUACCAGAGUUACAAUAUCCAAGAUCAGGCCGCACCUGCAACUUUACACAAAGUGGAUGCUAAAGUGGUACAGGUAUUUGUCUUUUCAAGUGAAAGUAGAGUCUAAGAUCUGCCAUAUAUC